AUUGAACGCUGGCGGCAUGCUUUACACAUGCAAGUCGAACGGUAACAGGCCUUCGGGCGCUGACGAGUGGCGAACGGGUGAGUAAUGCAUCGGAACGUGCCCAGUCGUGGGGGAUAACGCAGCGAAAGCUGUGCUAAUACCGCAUACGAUCUGCGGAUGAAAGCGGGGGACCUUCGGGCCUCGCGCGAUUGGAGCGGCCGAUGUCAGAUUAGGGAGUUGGUGGGGUAAAGGCUCACCAAGCCAACGAUCUGUAGCCGGUCUGAGAGGACGACCAGCGCAACCGGGACUGGGAAAGGGCCCGGACUACGCAGGGAGGCAGCAGUGGGGAAUUUUGGACAAUGGGCGCAAGCCUGAUCCAGCAAUGCCGCGUGCAGGAAGAAGGCCUUCGGGUUGUAAACUGCUUUUGUACGGAGCGAAAAGGCCCCCUCUAAUACAGGGGGCUCAUGACGGUACCGUAAGAAUAAGCACCGGCUAACUACGUGCCAGCCGCCGCAGUAAAAC
rnacentral:rRNA from 1 species